GAUGAACGCUGGCGGCGUGCCUAAUACAUGCAAGUCGAGCGAACAGACGAGGAGCUUGCUCCUCUGACGUUAGCGGCGGACGGGUGAGUAACACGUGGAUAACCUACCUAUAAGACUGGGAUAACUUCGGGAAACCGGAGCUAAUACCGGAUAAUAUAUUGAACCGCAUGGUUCAAUAGUGAAAGACGGUUUUGCUGUCACUUAUAGAUGGAUCCGCGCCGCAUUAGCUAGUUGGUAAGGUAACGGCUUACCAAGGCAACGAUGCGUAGCCGACCUGAGAGGGUGAUCGGCCACACUGGAACUGAGACACGGUCCAGACUCCUACGGGAGGCAGCAGUAGGGAAUCUUCCGCAAUGGGCGAAAGCUUGACGGAGCAAGGCCGCGUGAGUGAUGAAGGUCUUCGGAUCGUAAAACUCUGUUAUUAGGGAAGAACAAAUGUGUAAGUAACUAUGCACGUCUUGACGGUACCUAAUCAGAAAGCCACGGCUAACUACGUG
rnacentral:rRNA from 1 species